rnacentral:rRNA from 1 species
AACCGUGUACGUACAAGCAGUGGGAGCACCCUUUGGGUGUGACUGCGUACCUUUUGUAUAAUGGGUCAGCGACUUAUAUUCUGUAGCAAGGUUAACCGAAUAGGGGAGCCGGAGGGAAACCGAGUCUUAACCGGGCGUUAAGUUGCAGGGUAUAGACCCGAAACCCGGUGAUCUAGCCAUGGGCAGGUUGAAGGUUGGGUAACACUAACUGGAGGACCGAACCGACUAAUGUUGAAAAAUUAGCGGAUGACCUGUGGCUGGGGGUGAAAGGCCAAUCAAACCGGGAGAUAGCUGGUUCUCCCCGAAAGCUAUUUAGGUAGCGCCUCGUGAAUUCAUCUCCGGGGGUAGAGCACUGUUUCGGCUAGGGGGCCAUCCCGGCUUACCAACCCGAUGCAAACUGCGAAUACCGGAGAAUGUUAUCACGGGAGACACACGGCGGGUGCUAACGUCCGUCGUGAAGAGGGAAACAACCCAGACCGCCAGCUAAGGUCCCAAAGUCAUGGUUAAGUGGGAAACGAUGUGGGAAGGCCCAGACAGCCAGGAUGUUGGCUUAGAAGCAGCCAUCAUUUAAAGAAAGCGUAAUAGCUCACUGGUCGAGUCGGCCUGCGCGGAAGAUGUAACGGGGCUAAACCAUG